rnacentral:antisense_RNA from 1 species
CUUCACCGAGCCCAGCCACAGCGGACGGUCGGCCGGCCGGUCCCGGCCGUAGGCGGCGAGCAGGGCGGUGGCCUC